rnacentral:rRNA from 1 species
GACGAACGCUGGCGGCGUGCUUAACAUAUGCAAGUCGAACGGUGAAGGGGUCUGCUUUUGUGGGCCCUGGAUGAGUGGCGAACGGGUGAGUAACACGUGAGUAACCUGCCCCCUUCUUCUGGAUAACCGCAUGAAAGUGUGGCUAAUACGGGAUAUUCUGGGUCUGUCGCAUGAUGGGUCUGGGAAAGAUUGCGCCUUUGGGUGUUUUUGGUGGGGGAUGGGCUCGCGGCCUAUCAGCUUGUUGGUGGGGUGAUGGCCUACCAAGGCGGUGACGGGUAGCCGGCCUGAGAGGGUGGACGGUCACACUGGGACUGAGACACGGCCCAGACUCCUACGGGAGGCAGCAGUGGGGAAUAUUGCACAAUGGGCGCAAGCCUGAUGCAGCGACGCCGCGUGAGGGAUGGAGGCCUUCGGGUUGUAAACCUCUUUCGCCAGUGAAGCAGGCCUGCUCCUUGUGGGUGGGUUGACGGUAGCGGGAUAAGAAGCGCCGGCUAACUACGU